rnacentral:rRNA from 1 species
CCUACGGGGUGCAGCAGUGAGGAAUAUUGGUCAAUGGACGAGAGUCUGAACCAGCCAAGUCGCGUGAAGGAUGACUGCCCUAUGGGUUGUAAACUUCUUUUAUAUGGGAAUAAAACAGGGUAUGCAUACCCUCUUGUAUGUACCAUAUGAAUAAGGAUCGGCUAACUCCGUGCCAGCAGCCGCGGUAAUACGGAGGAUCCGAGCGUUAUCCGGAUUUAUUGGGUUUAAAGGGAGCGUAGGUGGAUUGUUAAGUCAGUUGUGAAAGUUUGCGGCUCAACCGUAAAAUUGCAGUUGAAACUGGCAGUCGUGAGUACAGUAGAGGUGGGCGGAAUUCGUGGUGUAGCGGUGAAAUGCUUAGAUAUCACGAAGAACUCCGAUUGCGAAGGCAGUUCACUGGACUGCAACUGACACUGAGGCUCGAAAGUGUGGGUAUCAAACAGGAUUAGAUACCCCAGUAGUC